UACGUAGGGUGCAAGCGUUGUCCGGAAUUAUUGGGCGUAAAGAGCUCGUAGGCGGUCUGUUGCGUCGGGAGUGAAAACCCAGGGCUUAACCCUGGGCCUGCUUUCGAUACGGGCGGACUAGAGGUAUUCAGGGGAGAACGGAAUUCCUGGUGUAGCGGUGAAAUGCGCAGAUAUCGAGAGGAACACCUGCGGCGAAGGCGGGUUGCUGGGCUGAUACUGACGCUGAGGCGCGAAAGCUAGGGGAGCGAACGGG
rnacentral:rRNA from 1 species